GGGAAAAGUAGGGGAGGGAUAAAUGAGGAGUAAGAGAUUAACAAAUACAAACUACUAUAUGCAAAAUAAACAACAAGGAUUUACUAUAUAGUACAGAGAACACAUUUACUGUCUUGUAAUAACCUAUAAUGGAAAAUAACCUGAAAAAUGUAUAACUGAAUCACUUUGCUGUAUACCUGAAACUAAGACAAGAGUGUAAAUCAACUAUAUUUCCAUUUUUAAAAAAAAUUCAGAUCACACAGAGGUGCAUAAUGCGGAAAACUAAGUGUUCAUUCUCCCCUCCACCAAUCCGGAACAUUCUCCACCUUCCACCUUCCAGAACAUUCCAGCCUGGAUGGCCUCGCCAGGUUCUGUCUCUUCCCAACCUCUACUGAACUGCGAUCCCACCAAGAGGCUCGGUUUCUGUACCUGGCAGAAGACCCUGCCUGGAGCAGGCCCUUCUGAAACAUUCUCUGACUUAUACUUUGGAUAGAACUAAGCAAUGAAAGGGUCUGGAGCUGGCCACGUGCUCUGAUAAGCCUUGACAAGCCGAUAUAUGACACUGACGGAACUAUCUAUUCCUUCAAAACGCGUAAAAGGCAGAGCUGAUUGAUGCGCAAGGUGGAGGUGGGGGCAAUGCCGUCGAUAACUGGGGGAAAGGAGAACUUUUCUGGGAAGGCUUCCUUUUAAGUGUCCAUGUGCUGAUCUAAUGUCUGACAAUGUCCCACAUUCAGUAGCUCUUCCCACGUGACAUUUUUCUGAUGUAUAAACUGAGUGUGACAUAGCCUCACACUAUGUGAAGGAUCUUUCACAAAAAAUCGAUCCUGUAUUACUCAUUCUUUUUACCAAGUGAUCAAAGCCAUAGCAUCAAUGGUGGGUCAUAAACUGUGCUUCACAUACAAUACAUG
rnacentral:lncRNA from 9 species